rnacentral:rRNA from 1 species
GACAGAGGAUGCAAGCGUUAUCCGGAAUGAUUGGGCAUAAAGCGUCUGUAAGUGGCUUUUCAAGUCCGCCGUCAAAUCCCAGGGCUCAACCCUGGACAGGCGGUGGAAACUACCAAGCUGGAGUACGGUAGGGGCAGAGGGAAUUUCCGGUGGAGCGGUGAAAUGCAUUGAGAUCGAAAAGAACACCAACGGCGAAAGCACUCUGCUGGGCUGACACUGACACUGACACUGAGAGACGAAAGCUAGGGGAGCAAAUGGG